GGGCCCGCACAAGCGGUGGAGCAUGUGGUUUAAUUCGAUGCAACGCGAAGAACCUUACCAGGGUUUGACAUAGUACGAAGUUUUUUGAAAAAAAACCACCUUCGGGAACGUACAUACAGGUGGUGCAUGGCUGUCGUCAGCUCGUGUCGUGAGAUGUUGGGUUAAGUCCCGCAACGAGCGUAACCCUUGUUUUUAGUUGCCUUUCGAGGAUAUUUAGAAAGACUGCCGAUUAUAAAUCGUAGGAAGGUAAGGACGACGUCAAGUCAUCAUGCCCCUUACACUCUGGGCUACACACGUGCUACAUUGGGUAGAACAAUAAGUUGCUAAGUUGCGAAACCAAGCG
rnacentral:rRNA from 1 species